rnacentral:rRNA from 1 species
GCCCAGACUCCUACGGGAGGCAGCAGUGGGGCCUCUUGCGCAAUGGGCGCCAGCCUGACGCCGCGACGCCGCGUGCGGGAUGAAGGUCUUCGGAUCGUAACCCUCUGUCAGCAGGGACGACCGGUCACUGUGCUCAUCAGCAGUGAAUUGACGGUACCUGCAAAGGAAGCACCGGCUAACUCCGUGCCAGCAGCCGCGGUCAUACGGAGGGUGCGAGCGUUAAUCGGAAUUACUGGGCGUAAAGCGCUCGUAGGCGGUAUGUCAAUGCAAGGGUGAAAUCCCCGCGCUCAACGUGGGAACUGCCUUUGAAACUGGCAAACUGGAGUGUGUGAGAGUAUAGUGGAAUUCCAGGUGUAGGAGUGAAAUCCGUAGAUAUCUGGAGGAACAUCAGUGGCGAAGGCGACUAUCUGGCACAUAACUGACGCUGAGGAGCGAAAGCGUGGGUAGCAAACAGGAUUAGAUCCCCGUGUAC